GACGAACGCUUGCGGCGUGCUUAACACAUGCAAGUCGAACGGAUUGCUUGGUGCUUGCACUGAGUGGUUAGUGGCGAACGGGUGAGUAACACGUGAGUAACCUGCCCCCUUCUUUGGGAUAAGCACCUGAAAGGGUGUCUAAUACUGAUUAUUCUGCUGGAAUCGCAUGGUUUUGGUUGGAAAGGUUUUUCUGGUGGGGGAUGGGCUCGCGGCUUAUCAGCUUGUUGGUGGGGUAAUGGCUUACCAAGGCUUUGACGGGUAACCGGCCUGAGAGGGUGACCGGUCACAUUGGGACUGAGAUACGGCCCAGACUCCUACGGGAGGCAGCAGUGGGGAAUAUUGCACAAUGGACGAAAGUCUGAUGCAGCGACGCCGCGUGAGGGAUGAAGGCCUUCGGGUUGUAAACCUUUUUCGCUUUUGACCAAGGCAGCAUUUUGGUAUUGUUGAGGGUAUGAGGUAAAGAAGCUCCGGCUAACUACGUGCCAGCCGCCGCGGUAAUAC
rnacentral:rRNA from 1 species